rnacentral:rRNA from 1 species
AGCGAACGCUGGCGGCAGGCCUAACACAUGCAAGUCGAACGAAAUCUUCUGACUUAGUGGCGGACGGGUGAGUAACACGUGGGAACGUGCCUUUAGGUUCGGAAUAACUCAGGGAAAGUUGGGCAAAAACCGAAUGUGCCCUUCCGGGGCAGGAUUUAUCGCCUUUGGAGCGGCCCGCGGCUGAUUAGCGAGUUGGUGAGGGAAGGGCGCACCAAGGACACGAUCAGUAGGUGGGCUGAGAGGAUGACCCGCCACAUUGGGACGGGGACACGGCCCAAACUCCUCCGGGAGGCAGCAGUGUGGAAUGUUGCGCAAUGGGCGAAAGCCUGACGCAGCCAGGCCGCGUGGAUGAUGAAGGUCUUAGGAUUGUAAAAUCCUUUCACCGGUGAAGAUAAUGACUGUAGCCGGAGAAGAAGCCCCGGCUAACUUCGUGCCAGCCGCCGCAGUAAUAC